rnacentral:rRNA from 1 species
GACGAGCGCUGGCGGCGUGCUUAACACAUGCAAGUCGAACGGAAAGGCCCUGCUUUUGUGGGGUGCUCGAGUGGCGAACGGGUGAGUAACACGUGAGUAACCUGCCCUUGACUUUGGGAUAACUUCAGGAAACUGGGGCUAAUACCGGAUAGGAGCUCCUGCUGCAUGGUGGGGGUUGGAAAGUUUCGGCGGUUGGGGAUGGACUCGCGGCUUAUCAGCUUGUUGGUGGGGUAGUGGCUUACCAAGGCUUUGACGGGUAGCCGGCCUGAGAGGGUGACCGGCCACAUUGGGACUGAGAUACGGCCCAGACUCCUACGGGAGGCACCAGUGGGGAAUAUUGCACAAUGGGCGGAAGCCUGAUGCAGCAACGCCGCGUGCGGGAUGACGGCCUUCGGGUUGUAAACCGCUUUCGCCUGUGACGAAGCGUGAGUGACGGUAAUGGGUAAAGAAGCACCGGCUAACUACGUG